AGCGAACGCUGGCGGCGUGCCUAACACAUGCAAGUCGAGCGAGAAAGGGGACUUCGGUCCCUAAGUACAGCGGCGAAAGGGUGCGUAACACGUGGGCAAUCUAUCCUUGAGAUGGGGAUAACCCAGCGAAAGUUGGGCUAAUACCCGAUAAGACCACAGAAAGCAAUUUCCGAGGUCAAAGGGUGCUUCUUUUGGAGCAUCCGGUUUGAGGAGGAGCCCGCGACCUAUCAGCUUGNGGUAGGUAACGGCCUACCAAGGCAAAGACGGUAGCUGGUCUGAGAGGAUGACCAGCCACACGGGGACUGAGACACGG
rnacentral:rRNA from 1 species